UGCAUUCUUCCAUGAUGAUUUUAUCAGUUUUCUUGCAUCUACAUUUCUUAGUUCACUGCCAGAGAAUGCAAAUAGGCUUCUGGAUGAGUCACAUUAGAGUCAUCUAUGGUUCAUUAUAUGGCAAAACUGGAACAUCAAUGACAGACUCCUGGAUGGCAAUGUCUACCAUCAGGGAAGCCAGCCUGCUGCCCUUGAACUUCACUGAACUAGAUAUGGGCAAAGAACAGAUGACAGGAAGAAGUUACUAAUACAUAAAAAGGGGGAAAACAGUCCUUGGGACAUCCAGGGGCAUAACUUGAGGCAAUGCAGCAUAGCUGUGAAAUCUUCUGGGGAGAACAACAGGGUACUCAGUAAGCCAAUAUACGUGAUCAGUGUGAGCACAAUCUUUCUUUAUUUUUUUGUAUCAAAGUGUCCAAAAAUGGAUGAAAAGAGGCAGAACCACAGGCAUUAAGUUGUCUUGAAUGCAGGCAUUGUGAUUGCAACCAAGAAGAAUUUCUUGUAGUCUUCGUGGGAAAACUAUCACAGGAAGAAGAAAAAGCAAUGUCGAGUGAGAUGGAUGGUGGAAGGGGGAGAGAAACUCAGGAGGAAGACGUUUGGGUCAAGUAUGCAACAAGAGUUCAAUAAAGUUUGGACAUAGAGGAAUAUAGUGUAUUAUCAGCUUGAUGUGCGAUUGGAGAAACCAAAGGGGUCACUUCUUAGUGCAAAGUCAGAUGAAGGGGCAUCCCGCCUAAACAGCACACAACUACUGGAUGUCUGUUCUGCACCAGAUGAACUCUUGAUGAUAAAGGAGGAAUGAGCUACAUGGAAUCACUGAAUCUCAUAGUGGUUAAGGACAAGAAAUCAUCAUCAUCAUCAUCAUCAAAGAGGUUUUUGUUCCUCUGAUGCAAUACCAUUUUCAUCUCCUCCAAGACUUUCAGUCACAUGGAAACCUUUUUUUGGUGAAGGUAUUGGACUGUUCACAGGACGCAGCAUAGGAAUUCUAGCCAAUUUCUUCUGACUGUCAAGGGGCAACUGACAAUCGUGUGACAUAUGCAUUAUUUUAUUUAAUCUUCAAGAACCCUGCGGAGAUGAUGAAAUUGAGGUUUAGGCCUUGGCCUCCCAUUUUGAACACCUACAAUGACCACCUCUUCAUGUUAUAUGAAAUUGAUGCGUGUGUAUUUGAGUUCUCCAUUAACUUCCUUUUAAUCAAUUGAUACCAAGUUCUUUGAUGCCUGCCUAAAUAAAGUACAUUCAGCCUGCAUACAUACUCAUUUGUCUUCUUUCCUCUGUUAUUCCUAGACUUCCAAUCACCAACAUGAUUGGUCCACAAUAGAGAUUCUCUCACUCAAACCAUUAUGCAUAUUCAUGGAUCUUCAUUUUGGCCUGAUGUAUAGAAUAUGAUGACUGAUUCGUACAUUUACCUCAUUCCUACUUUUCUACUUUUUAAUUUUUGCUAAUGUCACACGUUCUGCUUAGCACUUGCUUUUCAAGAACCUUGUCCUUACUCAAUGCUCCUAAACUGACCACUCUUGUAUUCCCUCUGCCUUUAGAACAAUUAUGUUCUGUUUGUACUAUGUUGAAUCUAUUACUCCAUAUGCCUGCUUAAAUCUUUCUGCUCCAACCACAUUGGUCUCCUGCUGUUCCUGAAGCAUGUCAAGCAUUAAUCCUUCUUAGGGCCAUUGCACUUGCUUUCCUUCCCCUUUAACUGAAAAUAAUGCUUUUCUCUAGAUAUCUGCAUGGUUUAUGCUCUUACCUUACUCAGGGCUCUGCUCAAAUAUCACCACCACAGAGAACUCCUCAUCACUUUUACAUGGUUUUAUUUUUCAUUGUAGCAUUUCUUUCUUUUUUUAAAAUUAUUUUUAACGUUUAUUUAUUUUUGAGAGAGAGAGUCAGAGCAUGAGGGGGAGAAAGACAGAGAAAGAGGAAGACACAGAAUCCAAAGCAGGCUCCAGGCUCCGAACUGUCAGCACAGAGCCCGACAUGGGGCUCAAACUCAUGAGCCAUGAGAUCAUGACCUGAGCCGAAGUUGGACGCUCAACCAACUGAGCCACCCAGGUGCCCCUUAUUUUUCAUUGUAGCAUUUGAUAGAGGUAGCUCUGAUGUUUAUUUGUUUAUUGUUCUUUUCCCCCACUAGGGGGAAGGGCCACUGACUGUUUUGUUCACUGUUCUAUGCCCAGCUCCUAGCAUAGUGCCCUUUAUAUAGUAGACUCUUAAUUAAAAUUUUUGAUGGAGGAAUGAAUAAAUUGUAACCAGGUAUCCCCUACCAAAAAUAAAAUCCUAAGUGCUUAAAAUGUUAAGACAAUAUCUUUGAUUUUGUAACAUACCACCAUGUACUGUGAUAUAGAGGAAACCAUACUAGUUUUUGGAUAAAACUGGCCUAAAUCCCCAAAUUCUCAAAUAUUAACUGAGUGGAUCACAGUAAAUAUCUCUCUGAGCUUCAACAUAUUUAUGUGUAAAAUAUGAUAAUACCCACUGUGAUAAUUAACUUUAUGUCAACUUGCCAAGGACAUAGUGCCUAGUUGUUUGGUCAAACAUCAAUCCAGAUGCUGCUAGGAAAGCAUGUUUUAGAUGCGAUUAACAUUUAGAUAAGUAGACUUUGAGGAAAGCAGAUUACCUUCUGUAAUGUGGGCAGGCCUCAUCCAAUCUGUUGAAGGCCUUAAGAGAAAUGACUAUUGUUUCCUGAAGGAGAAACAAUUUUGCCUCAAGACUGCAACAUAAAAACCCCACCUCAGCUUUCAGUGGGGAGAUUUUGCUCUCAACAUUGCAACAUCAACCCUUCCCUAGAUCUUCAGCCUGCUGGCUGGCUCUGAAAAUUUCGGAUUUAGCCCUAAUUGUAUGAGCCAGUUCCUUAAAAUCUCAUCCUCUCCUCUCUUUCUGUCUCUACCUCAUAUCCCAGGUGUGCGAUGUGUAGGCAAUGUGUGUGCCUGCGUGUGCACACUUAUAUACCUAUAUACUACAUUGUAUUGGUUCUUUUUCUCAGGAGAAUACUGACUGAUAAACCUACCUUGCCUGACUGAAGUUAGGAUUAAAUGAGGUAUGUGUUUAAAAGUCUUUAAUGUGUUUACAAGAGCAGCAAUCAUUAUGUGGUCAGUAAAUUCUUUUGACGGGUUAACAUGUCAGUCACAUAGUAGGUGGUCAGUAAAUAUAUGAUGAAUGAAUGAAUGAACAAAUUAAUGCCAGAAAUUGGAUGACCUCUGAACAAAUAUUAUUCUAGAUAGUUGUAAAAGCUCAUGUGAUUUGGUCACCAUUAAUCAUUCCUGAACAGUCUUUGAGGCUGAAUGUAUAGCACAUUGCAUUCUCUGUGAAGAUGUAAGGAAGCUUAUCCAUAUGCAACAUCAUUCACUGAGAGUGAGUAUUUCUUUUAUAAUGGCAAAAGUACUAUUUGAGAUUGAAAGGAAGGUGGAUGCCAAAUCAUUCCAUGAAUCUGCCAUGGCUUUGAGAUAAACCU